CCUGUGUCUGCUGCAGAGAGAGUGGACCAGCAGAGCUCAGAGGUUCCCAGUGGUCAGUCUGCCCAGCAGCAUCAAACACAGCUGGACUCCAUAUUUAUGCUGCUGGAGGACAACAUCAUCACCUUUGUGAAGAACGAGCUGAAGAAGAUCC